rnacentral:rRNA from 1 species
ACUCCUACGGGAGGCAGCAGUGGGAAUCUUGGACAAUGGGGCACCGUGCAUCCAGCCAUGCCGCGUGAGUGAUGAAGGCCUUAGGGUCGUAAAGCUCUUUCGCCUGUGAAGAUAAUGACGGUAGCAGGUAAAGAAACCCGCCGUACAUCCGUGCCAGCAGCCGCGGUAAUACGGAGGGGGUUAGCGUUGUUCGGAAUUACUGGGCGUAAAGCGCACGUAGGCGGAUCGGAAAGUUGGGGGUGAAAUCCCGGGGCUCAACCCGCACGG